GACGAACGCUGGCGGCGUGCUUAACACAUGCAAGUCGAACGGAAAGGCCUCUUUCGGGGGGUACUCGAGUGGCGAACGGGUGAGUAACACGUGAGUAACCUGCCCUUGACUUUGGGAUAACUUCAGGAAACUGGGGCUAAUACCGGAUAGGAGCUCCUGCUGCAUGGUGGGGGUUGGAAAGUUUCGGCGGUUGGGGAUGGACUCGCGGGGUAUCAGCUUCUUGGUGGGGUAGUGGCUUACCGAGGCUUUGACGGGUAGCCGGCCUGAGAGGGUGACCGGCCACAUUGGGACUGAGGUACGGCCCAGGCACCUACGGGAGGCAGCAGUGGGGAAUAUUGCCCAAUGGGUGGAGGCCUGAUGCAGCAACGCCGUGUGCGGGAUGACGGCCUUCGGGUUGUAAACCGCUUGCGCUCAUGACGAAGCUUUGUGUGACGGUAGUGGGUAAAGAAGCACCGGCUAACUACGUG
rnacentral:rRNA from 1 species